UACGUAGGGUGCGAGCGUUAAUCGGAAUUACUGGGCGUAAAGCGUGCGCAGGCGGUUUUGUAAGACGGAUGUGAAAUCCCCGGGCUUAACCUGGGAAUGGCAUUCGGGACUGCAAGGCUGGAGUGCGGCAGAGGAGACUGGAAUUCCACGUGUAGCAGUGAAAUGCGUAGAGAUGUGGAGGAACACCGAUGGCGAAGGCAGCCCCCUGGGCUAACACUGACGCUCAUGCACGAAAGCGUGGGGAGCAAACAGG
rnacentral:rRNA from 1 species